UACGAAGGGUGCAAGCGUUACUCGGAAUUACUGGGCGUAAAGCGUGCGUAGGUGGUUUGUUAAGUCUGAUGUGAAAGCCCUGGGCUCAACCUGGGAAUUGCAUUGGAUACUGGCAGGCUGGAGUGCGGCAGAGGAGACUGGAAUUCCCGGUGUAGCAGUGAAUGCGUAGAUAUCGGGAGGAAUACCGAUGGCGAAGGCAGGUCUCUGGGCUGACACUGACGCUCAUGCACGAAAGCGUGGGGAGCAAACAGG
rnacentral:rRNA from 1 species